AUCUGACAAACACACUGACAGGCACAUGGGAUUGGUGUGCAGGAAGAACUAGCAUCAAAAGGCACAAGCAACAAAAACUGCUACAAAGUGUUCAGAGCAGUACAUUUUAAUAUUCAGAAAGGUACAUUAAAUAAUCUGAUGGGUGUUUUGAGCUGAAACUUUACAAACACCUUCUGUAUCUUAUCCUAAAUCUUGAAAAAGGGAUAAAAUAGGUGCCCUUUAACACAUGUGGGCUGAGGUCAGCUCUUUUGAGGACCUAUUUUGUGUGCAUGUUUUGAUAGUCGUUUGCAAUAUUGAAUAAAACCUUUAAUUAGAAAGCUUUUUGUAUUGUAAAGCCUUGCGACCAGACACCAUUAACUUUAGCAAGAUCUCUCCUGCACUGGGUCUCUAAUAAAUGAAGUUAAACUAAACAAACCAGCAUGAGGCAGUGGCUGUGUCUUGUUAGGCCGGCCCACUUAACAGGGGUCGAAGGUUGCUGUUGUAUUCUCAGACUUGACUUGCAGGCAUCUAUUGGCUUUUGAUGGAUGUUGUUACUUAAGUGUGUAGGCUCUGGCCUCUGUAAAAGGGGGGGCCGUCCCCUCACAUGCUCCCACCCCCUCCCUCCUACUAAAGAGAUCACAGGGGUGCAGCUGCUUCAGAUGGCUUUGGGGUGGGGUGGGGGUCUGAGACCCUUCAAUGAGAGAACAAAACCCUUUCAUAAACACACACACUCAAGUUCACCCCUUACAACUGCCCCUAUUUUCACACCCCUACAAAAAAAAUGUUUGACAAGUGGAGGGUGCAAGAGUGCAUUGAGGGCACAGCAGACGUAUUUGUCCUUACUUAUAAGUUGCUAAUUGCUGAAUUGGGAGAAUUAUGAAUCUGAUAAUACACAGUUUACUGCACCAUGUGGCUUGAUUUGUAAUUAAUUCCUUAAUGGUCAGUUUAUUACACAUGAAUAAGUAACCCAUUAGGUCAAGGAUUUCAUGAAGAGACUGAAUAAACUGCUAUUGCAUAAUACAGCACAACAUUUUAACUUUCAGUAUCAAACUACUUCAGUAUCUGCUUUCAGCUAUCAAACAGUUGUAGUGGGCCCUAUCUACUUUGCUGACUCGGCAAUUUUUCAACAAGGGUGCCAGUAAUUGUAUCUUUUACACUGCCAUCCUCCUUGAUGUUACACAAUUGUGAUCAAAUUACAAUUCAAAAACUUCAAGUUAAAGCAGUUAAAGGCAAGACAUUCCUCACAACAACAAGAAACUCAUAGAACGAGCUAAUGAAAUUAGAAAAUUAUCUGUCAUUUGGUUGAAUGUAAGUUGCAUCCCUGGAGUAUUUUAAAUAUUGCUUGGGGUGAAAAUUGAAGGCAGAAUCUUUAAUUUGAAUCAGAGAUUCAGAAUAUGUAUAGAGAGUACUGUUAAACUUCAGUACAACAUUUUGUCAAACAUUACUUGCCUUAUACAACAUGAUACACUAGCCAUGACAGGAAAUCCUGAAUUCAGAAAUCAUUAAGCAGUCAAGAGAUUCGCUGUAUUUAAAAAACAAACAUGCUUAAAUAGGUGUACGUUUGUUGUCAGCAAUUUCCCUAUGAAAAUAGCUUAUUAUAUUAACGAUGUACUUAACAAUAGAUUACAUUUGGUCAUUAUACACUUUCAAAGUGUCAUGCCUCAUGUAUGUGGCGGUAAUCCAUGCUGUAUUAGCUUAGUGACACUUUUAUUAGUGUUUUAAUUAAUUACCUGGCUUUAUGGUAUUUAUAGAGCUAUGGGCUACUUCUAAAAAGUCAUGGCAAAGUUGGCAUCUAUUAUAUACAGUUGUGAAAUGUGGAUAGUUAAUAUGUUCAGGUUAUAAAGCUAGCAAAACUUCCAAGAAAAGGUAAGUGAGCAGUGGCAGUAAGAGUAAGUAGUAGUAGAGUAAGUAAGAGGUAGUAAGGUGAACUAAGUGUAAUGCAGCAAUAUUAGAGCUUUAACAAGUCAAAUAAAUCUGCAUUUCAAUGUUGGUUUGUAACAAAUCACCCAAGACACAAGAAGCUGGUUAACUCUUCUGUUGGUAUCUCAUACAGAGUAUCUGUGUGUGGAUUUAAGUGGGCAGCAUUACGAUUUGGGCGUUCAAGUGUGUCACAAAGCAGUUGCUGAGGAAAAACCAGGUCAUAUCUCCCUCUCUUUCUGAGCAGAAUGGAUAUUUUACAACACCACUGAGGCUGAACUAUCAGUUUGCAUAGGGCGUAUACAGAAGAACACCUUACAUAAGUUUCUCUAUAGGGACCUGGCAGGGAAGUACUGGACGAAAUAGCUUAAAUGACCAUCAUUAUACCCGAGGGCUACUUUUUAUUUUUCGAGGCUUCUGAUGUUCACAUCAGUCUGCUUCCUCUCUCAGUUGACAGUCGCGCACGGGAUUGUUCAGCUCCAAAUACCGGAGAGUUUUUAAACGAGCAGUUUCUAAAUAAUAUACCAUUGCUCCGUGUAAUAUUAACGGUGAUGAAAAAAACGUUUCUUACAGUAAAAUCUCUUUAUCUCCCACCUUCAAAACCGCUCUCUAAGUCAAUGUUCCCGGCAUGCCCAUGCAGCUGUGGGCGGCUCUUAGAUUUGAAUGAGCAGAGCGCCAUUUUUCGAGUAAGCGGCGAUAACAUCAACACUGAGCGCGCGCACAGAGAGACAGAGAGGGGGACCGUGCGCGCGACGCUUCGCCUAAAAAAUAAGACUUAUUAUCCGGAUUCGGGAUAACAGCACGGUUUGGAAACCGUUUAAAGAUCAAAAUCGCAUACGAGGUAGUGUCGACAUUCUCAGAAGUGACCAGCGCAAACGGAUUGUGGAGCCGAAGGAGAAAAGGGGGCUAUCGUUCAGCUGCGUACAUAAGGGAAAACCUGCAAAUUUUGAAAAAUAAUCUAUAAAAAUAUCGCUGUACGCCAGGAAAAAUAUAGAAAAAUUCUGGAAAAUACCACAGGGUCUUGGGAUCGGGAUUCGGCGGGGUGUGAGUGAAGAUUGUGUCAUUUUGGCGUUUUUUCGCGUCGCUUUUUGAGCGGGAGUAACGGACGAGCUGCUGGCGCAGAUACACACAGUUCAGUCCGAGAGCCUGUCAAGCAUCACAUACUGAGCUCAGAUUAUAGAGGACAACAUCAGCCAUUUCAACCGGAAAGGAAUGUAGAGCACACGGCAUGACACUGAGCUGUGACAGACUCAAGUGACUGUAAGUACACCACUGAUUUAACCUUAUUAUUGCCUAUAAAAGAAAUAUAAGAAAUGUGAAUUUGUAGUGCAUGAAAUGUAUAGAAUAGCCUAAAAAUGUCUAUAUUCUCAUGAAGUACC